rnacentral:lncRNA from 1 species
CUUCCCCAUCCUUGGUCGCCAUCCCGGAGACUGCUUUCAUGGAGAUGUCACUGGCUGCUGAGCCUCUGGCUCGUGGAUUCACUCAGCGGGAGACGAGAGGGCAGGAGGAGAGAGAGCUGGAAGCUUUGCUCCCAGCGCCCUCCCUGCCGGGGUUGCCUGCCUCAUCCUUCAAAGCCACCACUCCUACCGGGGAGCCCCCUCCACGCGUAGCUGCCCCUUGAGGAUGCUGGUCACUUCAAGGUGAGCCUCUGGGGUCCUGUGUUCUCUGUCAUUUGUUUCUGAAACCUUGCCCCCAGUUUUCUCAACAGAGCCCUUCUUAAAAUCUUCUCCAUUGCCCAGUUAGAGCUUGACGUCUGUCUCCCGACAGGACUCUGGUGUUUCAUGAGAAGACCUUGCGUCAGGCUGUGCAGUCUGUGUGCUUAGGACCCCAGGGCAUCCAAAGGGAAGUUUGCUCUCCCAGAGAGAGACAGGCACCUAUUCUUGGAGAGGAUGAGCCCAGGAGCUGAGGGGAGAGCUAGUCCCAAGCCGGUACCUGACUCCAGGCAGAAGCAGUACUCCAGGAGCCCCAGGGCGGCGGAAGCGUUGCAGAAGAUGGCAAAGCUCGUCAGAACAGUGCCCUCCUCUGGGGCAGUGGUACAGUUUCAGGUUGAAGGAAUGGUGCCACGGAAGAAUGUUUCUGGGGAAAUGACCCCCGCUUCACCCAGACUCUGA